CAGGCACAGUUCUUCUCAGUUCAAUGUGGCAAUAAUUUUUGCUAGCGAACUAAAGAUGCUCACAAGGCAGUGACGCAUUUGAUGUUCAGCACUGAUCCAGUGUGUUGGCGUACUGUGCUAAAUGUUUUAGAUUAGGUGAUUUCUGUAGAAUUUGAUUGCUCACGCACUGUUCGAAUUAAACCAUAGGUGUGGCCAAAUUCAGGUUGAGGCUGGAGAGUGCACCGCCUGAUAGGAACCUGAAACAAUCUAACCGCAAAUUUCUAGAAGAGCCUACUAACACUGGUGAAAUCAGAACAUGGUCUAUGUUUUGACCCAUUCGCUGAGGUGUAUGACUUUUACAAGUUGUAUUCGUGGGAGGUUGACUUUGGGGGUAUGGCAAGAGUUGACUGAACGCUGAGAGGACCAAAUCAUUGCAGGAGAUCGUGUGCGACUGUUCAGUGAGACAUAAUGUUUUGAUGCUAAUUUUCGUUUUGACAAACAGUGUUAUAAGCAGAGGAGUACCAUUGAUUACUUAUUUUGUGUUCUCAGUUACUCUUGUGAACACAAGUUCAGCGUCCUUCAGUUCUAGUUUUUUCGAACUGAGAAGAUUAUACCUCAUGUUCUUCACGGCCGCAGAGAUUUGGAAAUCUUGGUUUUUCUUCUUGCUCUUCAGUUUCUUUGCUAAUCCGGCGUGUAUGCCUACGUAAAUGCAAUCUGGGUAGCGCACCAGCUGCUCGACGCAAUUCUACUGUAAAAUUCAGUACCAUUUGGAGUCGUGCAGUUGAGUUUGGAUCAUACCAAAGGCAAAUCAUAUAUUUCCCUUUCCCUUGUUAUUUAGUAGCACUAACUGUUGUUAUUUAGUAGCACUAACUGUUGGGCAUAUGGCAUUGACAGGCUUUAGUGUUAGCAUAUUCAUUGUUAACUUCUUGCGUGAUAAUUCCUUUUCCCAGAAAUGUUAAUUGGGGAUGAUGUGCACUAUAUUAGCCAGUGCUGCUUAUCAAGGCAGCUGAGCUGGAUGUCUUCUGCAAACUCCCAUGUUGAUCACUUCCAGGCCACACUUGAAAAUGAAGCAUAUCUUAAGUGAAAAGAGGCAUGGACAAGCUCCAUAUAUUGUUAGUCUGACAAAACAACUUAGAAGGAAUACUGAAAUAAUAGCUUUUGAGGUAUCACAACCAUUCAUUCCGAUAUGAUAGCUUCUGAGUUAUUUGGAUGAGCUUUGGUGACCUUACCAGUGCAGACCUUCCAGCCAGAUUUGGAACCAUGUGUCGGUGCUUGUGCUGCUGAUUUUGUUUAUUUCACUACAAAAGUUGAAGCUUUUACUCUCCAUGUAUAAUCUUUGUGACUGAUGUUAUGUAUGCACUGUAUAGUAUUGUAGAAGGAGAAGUUUAAAGAAAGCUUUUAUAACAUGCUGCAGGAACAUCACCUUGUGCAUUGCAAGAA